UCCAAGGUCAAAGCAGUGUCCUCCUGGAGC
rnacentral:piRNA from 1 species